rnacentral:lncRNA from 1 species
AUGGGGGUGAGGGGGCCUUCCGAGACUGCAUGGCUGGGGGCUCCACCCAUGAGCUUCCGUUGCCUCUCUGGGAGCCCUGGGACGCCUCUCCCAGGCACAGGAAGGGAAGGGUCCCCUGCCCAGCCGGUGCCUCCCCCAGGACUGUGGCAACGAGGGGGCCACAAGGAAGAGGGGCUGAGCUCUGGGCACCUUGCGAAGACCGAGGUCCCUCCUUUGUUAAGGCCUAAGGGACCGAGCUCACCUCCACGGCCACUCCCUUGGGGCUGCCUCUGCCCUGCCUCCCUGGGAGACUUCAGACAAAUCCUCAGCCCUCCCUGGGCCUCGGUUUCCCUACCUGUCCAGUGGCUGGAAAGCUCUCCCAGGUCGUCUCCUUGGACAACUCCUUACAGCUGGAAUCUAUACAUGAUGGCUGGCAAUGUGGCAGCCAGUGAGGUGCCACGAGGUUGAAAGUUAACAUCGAAGGCUGAGGACGCAGGAAGCCAGGAGCUGGCUUGAAGCCAGCACAGUGGUCCUGGGCACCUUGCUUCUGGAUUCCCUGUUCUGUGAGAGGUGUUUCCAUGUCUUCUUUGUCUUGUAACCGAAUCGGCUCCUCCCAGAUACGGAUUGGAAUCCAUCUGCGGAUGUCUCUACUACUCUAAAACCCUGGAGGGUGUUCGGAGCCUGUGCCUCAGUGAUACCAGGAAAUACCUGUUGAUCGACUAACUGAUUAAAUGAAUGGAUAACAAGGAUCUAGUUUAUAAAUGUUCAUGGUGAUAAAAUUAAUUGUCGUAUGAUUGUGAUAAUUGUUAUUAUAGUAACCUCUUGUGUUGAGGAUCUGCUGCGCCCCUACAUGAAACAUUAUUUCACUUAGUCCUGGUACCAACACCUUGAGGCAGAACCUUAACUGUGCCCAUUUUACAGGUGAGAAAAACUGAGGCGCAGAAGGCCUCGCACGGCUCUCAGGUGGUAAAGCCAGGGUUUGAUCCAUGUGUGUAGGCUGCGGGCCGCAUCUUGGUUCCCCUCACUUCACAUCCUCAGGUCAAGCAAGGGAACAGCUCUAUCAUUGGCCGAAGGCACCGUGUGGACUUGGUGGCCCCGGGGCUCAGAGCCUCCACUGCCACAUGCUGCCACAUUGAGCGCAGGGAGCCGAGGGCUGCAAGUCAGGGGAGCAGCACGCCAGCCCCUGGCAAGGGGGAAUCCGGGACCCCUGGCAGACCAGAGCAGACAGGGAGCAGUCUGUCUCAGGGCCUGACUGCGGCUCUCCCUGUCCUGGGGGCCCACGGGCUGCUGCUCACCUUGCCCCCGCCCCCCUGCUCCCCAGACUCCUCCGGGAGGACCCCCACUUGUUGCCUGGAGAUAUCGCCGCGGAGGCAAACGAAGUGGGCGGGGCCUGGCUGCUCUCCUGGCC